rnacentral:rRNA from 1 species
ACGGGAGGCAGCAGUGGGGAAUAUUGGGCAAUGGGCGAAAGCCUGACCCAGCAACGCCGCGUGAAGGAAGAAGGUCUUCGGAUUGUAAACUUCUUUUAUGAGGGACGAAGGACGUGACGGUACCUCAUGAAUAAGCCACGGCUAACUACGUGCCAGCAGCCGCGGUAAUACGUAGGUGGCAAGCGUUAUCCGGAUUUACUGGGUGUAAAGGGCGCGUAGGCGGGGAUGCAAGUCAGGUGUGAAAACUAUGGGCUUAACUCAUAACGUGCAUUUGAAACUGUAUCUCUUGAGUGCUGGAGAGGUAGAUGGAAUUCCUUGUGUAGCGGUGAAAUGCGUAGAUAUUAGGAGGAACACCAGUGGCGAAGGCGGUCUACUGGACGAUAACUGACGCUGAGGCGCGAAAGCGUGGGGAGCAAACAGGAUUAGAUACCCGGGUA